AUGAACGCUGGCGGCGUGCUUAACACAUGCAAGUCGAACGAGCCUUCGGGCUAGUGGCGGACGGGUGAGUAACGCGUGGGAAUCUGCCCUCAGGAGGGGGAUAACGGCCGGAAACGGCCGCUAAUACCCCAUAUGCCGAGAGGUGAAAUGAAUUUCGCCUGAGGAUGAGCCCGCGUCUGAUUAGCUAGUUGGUGUGGUAAUGGCGCACCAAGGCUUCGAUCAGUAGCUGGUCUGAGAGGAUGAUCAGCCACACUGGGACUGAGACACGGCCCAGACUCCUACGGGAGGCAGCAGUGGGGAAUUUUCCGCAAUGGGCGCAAGCCUGACGGAGCAACGCCGCGUGAGGGACGAAGGCCUCUGGGCUGUAAACCUCUUUUCUCAAGGAAGAAGACAUGACGGUACUUGAGGAAUAAGCCACGGCUAAUUCCGUGCCAGCAGCCGCGGUAAUACGGGAGUGGCAAGCGUUAUCCGGAAUUAUUGGGCGUAAAGCGUCCGCAGGCGGCCCAGCAAGUCUGUUGUUAAAAAGUGGAGCUUAACUCCAUCCAGGCAAUGGAAACUGCUGGGCUAGAGUGUGGUAGGGGCAGAGGGAAUUCCCGGUGUAGCGGUGAAAUGCGUAGAUAUCGGGAAGAACACCAGUGGGCGAAGGCGCUCUGCUGGGCCAUAACUGACGCUCAUGGACGAAAGCCAGGGGAGCGAAAGGGAUUAGAUACCCCUGUAGUCCUGGCCGUAAACGAUGAACACUAGGUGUCGGGGGAAUCGACCCCCUCGGUGUCGUAGCCAACGCGUUAAGUGUUCCGCCUGGGGAGUACGCACGCAAGUGUGAAACUCAAAGGAAUUGACGGGGGCCCGCACAAGCGGUGGAGUAUGUGGUUUAAUUCGAUGCAACGCGAAGAACCUUACCAGGGUUUGACAUCCUGCGAAUCCCUUGGAAACUUGGGAGUGCCUUCGGGAGCGCAGUGACAGGUGGUGCAUGGCUGUCGUCAGCUCGUGUCGUGAGAUGUUGGGUUAAGUCCCGCAACGAGCGCAACCCACGUCUUUAGUUGCCAGCAUUCAGUUGGGCACUCUAGAGAGACCGCCGGUGAUAAACCGGAGGAAGGUGUGGAUGACGUCAAGUCAUCAUGCCCCUUACAUCCUGGGCUACACACGUACUACAAUGCUACGGACAAAGGGCAGCAAACUCGCGAGAGCUAGCAAAUCCCAUAAACCGUGGCUCAGUUCAGAUCGUAGGCUGCAACUCGCCUACGUGAAGGAGGAAUCGCUAGUAAUCGCAGGUCAGCAUACUGCGGUGAAUACGUUCCCGGGCCUUGUACACACCGCCCGUCACACCAUGGAAGUUGGCCAUGCCCGAAGUCGUUACUCCAACCCGUAAGGGAGGAGGACGCCGAAGGUGGGGCUGAUGACUGGGGUGAAGUCGUAACAAGGUAGCCGUACCGGAAGGUGCGGCUGGAUCACCUCCUAACAGGGAGACAAAACUGAUUGUGAUGUCUGAGCGCUAUGAGGAUGAAAAUCUAAGUAGCAACUUUGUCUUAGGCCACAAUCCUGUCAUCUCGAA
rnacentral:rRNA from 1 species